rnacentral:lncRNA from 1 species
GGAGAGGAAGUCUAUGGUGAGACAGGGUUUACCUCAGAAAAUAGAAUAGAAUAGAAUAAAAGAGUGUAAUGCUGGUUAGAGAGAUAGAAUAAAGAAAACUGGAGAUGCAAAGAGAGGCCUGCACGAACAUGGUGGAGGGAAUCUGAACAUUCUUUAGAAACUGAAGGAGAUAUGCCAACGCCUCUGCUGAUAUUGAGGAAUGAUGCAUUCUUCAAUGUAGAAUGUACUGGUGUUCUUCUGCAUAACUCCAAAAGCCUAAAUGAUUUUCCGUACUUGUACAUGGAAAAAAGACUCCAGAGUAAGCUAAAUUUGAAACACAGGAACUAUGUAAUCCAGUGAAAUUUUCUGAACUAAACUUAGAUAGCAAUUGGUCCGUGCCUACAGCCUCAUACAAGGAAGUUCUUAAUGCAAUUUAGACCACAGCAGUUUACAGGAAAAAGAUUGAACAAAUGCAAAAGGUUCAACAGAUGGUG